UUCUGUUUGAUCCCGGCGGAGCCUACUGCUAUUGGGAUUCGAUUACGCCAUGCGAGUUGAAUGAAUUUAGAUUCAUGGCGUACGGCUCAGUAACACGUGGAUAACUUACCCUUAGGACUGGGAUAACUCUGGGAAACUGGGGAUAAUACCGGAUAUUAGGCUAUGGCUGGAAUGCUUUGCCUUUGAAAUGUUUCUUGUAUUCGCCUAAGGAUAGAUCUGCGGCUGAUUAGGUCGUUGGUGGGGUAAUGGCCCACCAAGCCUAUGAUCGGUACGGGUUGUGAGAGCAAGAGCCCGGAGAUGGAACCUGAGACAAGGUUCCAGACCCUACGGGGUGCAGCAGGCGCGAAACCUCCGCAAUGUACGAAAGUGCGACGGGGGGAUCCCAAGUGUUAUUCUUAAUAGGAUAACUUUUCAUUAGUGUAAAAAGCUUUUAGAAUAAGAGCUGGGCAAGACCGGUGCCAGCCGCCGCGGUAACACCGGCAGCUNCAGUGGUAGCUGUUUUUUAUUGGGCCUAAAGCGUUCGUAGCCGGGUUUGAUAGUCUUUGGUUGAAGCUUAUGGGCUAACUGUAAGAAUUGCUGAAGAUACUGUCAGACUUGAAGUCGGGAAA
rnacentral:rRNA from 1 species